AAUAAAAAAUAGCUAAAAAAACUACUUUCAGGAGGCUGAAAUCUGGAGGAGAUCAAAAUCUGGCUCAUUUGGCACAGGAAAGCCAAGCGACCAUGAAGAACUGGAAACUUCUAGUUGGUUUUCAUUUGAUUGGGAAAUUCUCUGCAAGGCCUUAUGGAAAAGUCAGCUGGGUGUUUUGUCCUGCUUCCUCCCAGGCAGAAGAGCAGCCCUAACUGGAGAAGAUGGAGUGGAUUUUGAUGGCACCACACAGAAUCUGAGGAGGUUCCAGGCUCCUCCUUCCAUGCUGAGACAGGUACAGAGGUGGGAGAUGCAGAUCCCUGUGGGGAAAGAGUGGGGCAGUCUAAGGAAGACCAUGGAUGGAAUGGAAAGAGUGAUCACCUCUAAGAGCAGUUUGGUCCCUCCUGCUGCAUCAGCUCCUGGGAAAUCCUUCCAAUCAGUACAGGAACUCCAGGCUUUCUGUGGGGUCCCAAGGAGCAGAAGACAAGAUAACCAUGCUUUGGUGUAGGCAUGCAUGAUGGGUU